rnacentral:rRNA from 1 species
GAUGAAGGGAGCUUGCUCCUGGAUUCAGCGGCGGACGGGUGAGUAAUGCCUAGGAAUCUGCCUGGUAGUGGGGGAUAACGUCCGGAAACGGGCGCUAAUACCGCAUACGUCCUGAGGGAGAAAGUGGGGGAUCUUCGGACCUCACGCUAUCAGAUGAGCCUAGGUCGGAUUAGCUAGUUGGUGGGGUAAAGGCCUACCAAGGCGACGAUCCGUAACUGGUCUGAGAGGAUGAUCAGUCACACUGGAACUGAGACACGGUCCAGACUCCUACGGGAGGCAGCAGUGGGGAAUAUUGGACAAUGGGCGAAAGCCUGAUCCAGCCAUGCCGCGUGUGUGAAGAAGGUCUUCGGAUUGUAAAGCACUUUAAGUUGGGAGGAAGGGCAGUAAGUUAAUACCUUGCUGUUUUGACGUUACCAACAGAAUAAGCACCGGCUAACUUCGUGCCAGCAGCCGCGGUAAUACGAAGGGUGCAAGCGUUAAUCGGAAUUACUGGGCGUAAAGCGCGCGUAGGUGGUUCAGCAAGUUGGAUGUGAAAUCCCCGGGCUCAACCUGGGAACUGCAUCCAAAACUACUGAGCUAGAGUACGGUAGAGGGUGGUGGAAUUUCCUGUGUAGCGGUGAAAUGCGUAGAUAUAUGAAGGAACACCAGUGGCGAAAGCGACCACCUGCACUGAUGCUGACACUGAGGUGCGAAAGCGUGGGGAAGAAACAAGAUGAGGUACCCUGGUAGUCCACGCGGUAAACAAUGUAUACUAACCCAUGGGAUCGCUCAGAUGUUAUUGGCGG